rnacentral:lncRNA from 1 species
CCUCAUUCUUUCAGCACAUACUGAUGCUGAACCUAGACCUGACUAACUGCAGCAACCCCACAUCAUUUAAUCCAGGUGAAGAUUGUUUUUUUCCAGGCAGUGCAUACAUUUUUGUUUCUGAUAAAUAGUAUUUUUCAUUUAUUCAAAUUUCAGUCACACAUUUUAGCCAAAAACAAAAAAAAAGGAUUUACUUCACUUUCUUUCUCUCGAAAACCCUCAGGAUCGCGGAAGAACUCGUGUAUUCGUAUUUCAGUCAGAUAUUUUCGUCAGAAACGGGAUCUCGAGGCUUCUUUCCUGUGAGAGAGAAGAAAACAGCCGUUGGUUUUUAGUGCGCGAGCUCGCUCGUGCGUUUCCCGCCCUCCGCUGCUACUGCGAGCUCGCGCUCAGAGCGCGCGCGCCUCCGCGAGGCAGAGCAGGCAGGACGGGGCGCUCUCUCUCUCUCUCUGUCCAUGGAGCUGUAGUGUGAGCGGGGGACUCGGAGGAAAACGCGGGUUUAACGCUCUCCUUUCAGCGGCUGGCGGACGGGACCCUCACCACGGCUGCAUCCAUGACUUUACGGACUCGGCUGCUGCACGGGGUUGUGUUCACUUUGGCCGCAGCGUUCUUCAGCACGCGGGUCCAUGGACUGCAGUGCUAUGGCUGUAACGUCAUCCAUGGGCAGAGGUAUGUGGAUGUGGGCUGCUCCAACCCUGAGGUCAUCACCUGUACUCAUUCCCACAAAGGGUUUAAACACCGCUUCUGCAUCAAGACAGAAAGCACGGCUCUGGGCAUCGUCCUGACCAGUGGCUGCGCGACCUCCAGGCACUGCCAACAACAGGAGCUGCCGGGAGUGAGCAUCCACUGCUGCGAUUCUGACUUGUGUAACAGCUCCCCCUCCCGACACCCAGGCUUACUGCACUACAUCUGCCUGCUGGUCAGCUUAACAAUGAUGUGGAUGCAACUGUGAGGAAGGAUACUGCCUGAGGACGACCGGACUCUGUUUAUAGUCGUUCUCUGGAAAUGUUGUCAGUGGCAAUUCAGUUGAAAACAAAACUUGUCAUCUUUCAUCAUUCUAAACACAGGAUUUGAAAGCACUUCUAAAUUAUGUAAUAUUUAUGUCAUUACCUUACAUUCCCUCUGCCAGUCAGGAAGGGAAAUAAGAAAGAUCAGGAUAAGAAUUCAUAUUUUAUGUGAGAAAAAAAAUGGUUUAAAGAUUUACAACUGUCAUUUCCUAAAUAUGUAUUUAGUUAAUUUUAUGGAGGCCACCAUUAGAGUUAAUAGGAAGAGAAUAACAAUGGAAAAAAGUGGUAAAAAGGAUUGUGUUUUUUGUAAAUAAUUGCUUUGUGGUCAUUGUAAUCAUUGUUUUGUGUAAAUCACUGAGAAAAUGAGAAGAUUUUUUUAAAGAACAUAAACAAGGUCUGUUUUUGAAGCAGGUAAUGCUCUUGCAUGGACUAAAUUAUUUUAUCAUCAUGUGGUUUUUCACAUAUUUCAAACAUUCUUCACAAAUAGGCUGAUAUUCAAAACUCUCUCACGUGUUGCAUGAAAGUAUUGCUGUUUUUGGACUGUAUAUAAAUGAAGCCAUCUUUGAACUGUAUUAAAUUAUUAAAGGGAGGUGUGACAAUUUUGUAUAAUAACCAUGACAGAUCAGCAAUUCAGAUAUAGGCAGACUUUAACUUUAAAAAUGUAUUUAAUACACUGACAUGCUAAAUGUGAUGAUGAAAUGUAGGGUCUAUACUGUGCCCCAUGAUAUAUUCCAUGUCUCAUGGAAGCUAUAGAACUCUGCAUUGGCUCAUAUGAUAUGUGUGUAUGGGACCGACAGUAUUAAAUGUUGAUAUGAUUGAGUCACUAAUCUGUUCAAAUGGACACUUUGAGCCAGACACCGCCAGUCACUAUCAUUACAACCUACUGCUCUGUCCACUGUUGGUGAUAUCUAUGCACAUUCCUAGUACACACUUUGCCACUUUGUAUUAAGGAGUGUUCAUACAUGUCCCACCAGUCUCACUCCCACUAUCAGACCUUGCUCAUAUCCAUAUCUUGUUGCCAUGAGCACACUGGCAGUGUUCAGUCAACCUUACUCACAAGAUCAACACCCCACGGUUUCCAAAGUUGUCUCCUGAGGUAACUCUUAUUUACUAAUUAAACACUGCUAUCCUAUGACAUUUGGCAUGUCAGUGGAAUUUGAUGCAAAUCUGUCAUGUUUGCACAUAAUUUGCUUAACUUUCAAAAACAGCAGUGAUACACUCUAUUUCUUUAAAUGGCAACAGAAGUAUGCUUUUAACAAUGUUAACAGUACUGAUUAAGACUGCCAUAAAGAAUACUGAGUCAUUUUGCACCAAACUUAGUGAAGAGUGAUGUCAUUUUGUCCAAGGAAUAUACUUUAGCAAAUGUACUAAAUAAAACAUAUUUUGGUUUACUAAAAUGUUUCUUA